AUUGAAUGCUGGCGGCAGGCUUAACACAUGCAAGUCGAGCGAGCGGCGGACGGGUGAGUAAUGUCUGGGAAACUGCCUGAUGGAGGGGGAUAACUACUGGAAACGGUAGCUAAUACCGCAUACCAUCAGAUGUGCCCAGAUGGGAUUAGAUAGUAGGUGGGGUAAUGGCUCACCUAGGCGACGAUCCCUAGCUGGUUGGAGAGGAUGACACUCCUCCCUGGAACUGAGACACGGUCCAUAAUCCUUCUUGUCUCCUCCUUUUCUCCUAUUCCACUCUUUUCGAAAGCCUGAUCCAGCCAUGCCGCGUGUGUGAACACCUCCUUCCGAUUUUCACGCACUUUCAGCGAGGAGGCGUUACUCGCAGAAGAAGCACCGGCUAACUCCGUGCCAGCAGCCGCGGUAAUUC
rnacentral:rRNA from 1 species